rnacentral:lncRNA from 1 species
UGAUAAUAAACAUAGCUUAAUAGGAUGUGACGGGUUAUCAUAGCUUAAAAUACAUUUUUAAAUAUGUGCUUUGAUUUUAUAUUGAACAGGUUCAAGAUGAGUCGUUCCAUGUACGUGGCUGAAUUUGACGAGUAAGAUGUCUACCUACAAUUUGAUAUGCUUCUUUGUUUCAUUGGAGAAGGUUUCACUGAAGCUAUGAUUUGAUUUAUGGUGCCUAAUUUUAGCCUAACGAUUAUUUCUUGCUUUUUGUAAUGUAUGGGUUGAAUUCUUAUUUGGGAGAGUUGCCUGGGGGUUAUCAUGAGGUCAUUAAAGGAGAGUUACUUACUUGUGCUUGUAAGUAUUUCCUUUGACUAUGUAUUUACUUUUUGUUGACUUUUCCCCUACCUCUGCCACCUUUUGUUGUUUAACAGUUCGGAGAUCGUUUCAUAAUGUACCGUAUUGCAUUGUAUUAUAUUGUAGUGUAUCGUUUGAUGAAUACAAUGUUUAGAUAAAUUGUAUCAUUUGUUGUUGUUUCAUGAUAUUACGUACCAGUAAUAUCAUGACCUAAUGUGUCUUUGAGUUACUAGUCC